GGAGUACAGUGGCGUGAUCUCAGCUCACUGCAACCUCCACUUCCUGGGCUCAAGUGAUUCCCCCGCUUCAGCCUCCCGAUGUUACAUUACACGGCAAAGGGGAAUGAAGGCUGCAAAUCAGCUAAGUAGAGAAAUGUUUCGCCAUGUUGGCCAGGCAGGCCUCGAACUCCUGACCUCGUGAUCCACCCAACUCGGCCUACCAAAGUGCUGGGAUUACAGGCGUGAGCCACCGCGCCCGGCCGGUUUUUGUUUAAAAAAGAAAAGAAAAAAAAAAAAAAACACACAGACACACACAAAAACAUCACCCCAAUCCUUCCACCCUUGAACGCCACUUGAAGCCUAAGUUUCCUGCCUCCAAAUUCCACUAUUUCCACCCUCGACUCUCCUCCCCAGCUGUCCUAGAUUCUGCUCCAGCUGAG
rnacentral:lncRNA from 10 species